UCCCAGCAGAGACUUUAUAUGCUCCCUGUUUGUGUCUGGCCACCUCCUCCUCAGCUCAGCAUCCCCGUGCUGGUGACUACAUGUGAAACCUGAAGUCACUGAUCUCGGAGAGGCCAUGAGCCCAACAGGGGAAACCAGCCCCGGAACUACAGAUGCCCCUGCAGAGAAGAGGGGAGGCUGCCCCUGGCUGAGCACCUGGGUUGUUCCUGUGAUCUCCAUCCUGAUCCUCAGUGUCUGUUUCAUCUCCAGCAUCCUCGUUACCUGGCGUUGGGACACUAGGACACAGCAUGAAGAGCAAGAGAAACUGUCUUGGCUGCUCCGGUAUCUGAAGGAAAAAACUUGUGUCUCAGAGGGUCAGGCAGGGACAGAUCAGCCCUUCUGACUUUUGGACAGUCCAUGCAUUUGGGAAGUUAUUCUGCCUUAAUGUUGCUGUGAUCACUGUUAAGGUUUUGUGUUGGAUGCAAGUUUGAUGAAGCUGGGUCCUGAGUCUCCUACACGGCGCCCACAAACACUACACGGUAACAGGAGUGGUCAGAGAGUGACUGGAGAAGAGAGUACAGGACAAAAGGGGUAAGGAAAAUGGAGCAGCUGAGAGUUCCUCUGGAGCUGAAGUUCUCUGGCAAUACAGCAGAUAAGUGGAAGGGAUUUCAACACAGAUUCAGCCUGUACAUGCAAGGAGUGGCUUUAUUGAAAAAGAAGAUAAACAGAAGGGAGCUAUUUUUUUAAAAAAAUUAUCGUGGGGUCAAAACACUAGAUAUUUCUAAUUAUGUACAGUUAAGUCAGGCAGCACAAGCAUGCUAUAAGAUGCAUGAAGUUUGAAGAGUACUGCACACCCGAGACAAAUGAAAUUUUUGAACGAUAUAAAUUUCAUGAGAGCUCAGAGAGAAGGAUUGUUGUUUGAAGAAUUCAUGGUGGAUCUCAAGCUGUUGAGCCAAACAUUUAAUUAUGAUCAGCUCACAGAUUCACUAAUCCGAGAUCAACUAACGACGGGAAUUCGAGAACCAAAGAUUAGAAAAAGACAAUGGAAGACCCAGAUUUGAACCUGGAUUAGGCAUUUAGAAGAUGCUAGACAGCAGAGGUUACCCAGAACAGAUUGACACUUUUGGAGGGAAAACAAGAUACUGCUUUGAUGGACAGAAUCACAAACCCUCAGGGCAAAGGGAAAGCAGAAAUGUUCAACAAAGCCUGUAAAAAAAAAAAAGUGAGUUUGCAAAAAAGGAAUUUGUUGAGGACAACAUAAAGAAUUACACAAGGCGUGGAAGGAAAUUUCAGCAAUGAAUUGCAUUUGGACAACAUUGCAACAAGUGCACGAAAUUCAAUAAUUUUGAAAGAGUGUGCAAUUUGCAAUAGCAGAUGCACCAAAAGAACCAAAGUACACACGCUAUGUAACAUGAGGAGAACAGAGCUAGCAGCACAGAAGAAAAGCUUUGAAUGAAGCAGCUGCACCAAAUAAUCGGGCUGUUACCUUGGCAAUGAACGGAACUUUUUUGACUUUUAAACAAGACACUGGUGCUCAAGCAAAUGUGGUAAUGGAAUAUAUUUUAAGGGUCUAAAAAAAGACUGGGUACAUUGCUAAUAGACAGGUAAAGUGAAGGCCUUACAGUGGAGAGCUCAUUUCUACUUGUGGGCACAUGUGAAUUAGAGGGAACGUUAAAAAUAAGAUUGAAAAAUAAUAAAUUUUGUAAUUGUGCCAAAAAUGUACCUAUACUGGCCUUAAAAACAAGCCCAACACUAGGGUUUGUUCAGAGAAAAUAUACUCAUUAGAGGGGCAAGGGGACUCAGGUAUUGGGGAGCAGUUUUAGGAUGUCUUUAAGGGCAUUGGAAAACUGCCAGCAGAAUAUCAAACUGAACUGACAGAGCCUAGUUGUUCCAUCAUACAUUCCCCUAGGAAUGUUCUUCUAGCUCUGAAAAAAAAACUCAAAAGAGGAGCUAAAUAGAUUAAUGGCACCAGAGGUAAUCAAGUCAGUAAAGGAGACACAGAAUGGGUUCGUUCAUUAGUAAUUGUAGAAAAAAAAACGAACCCGAAAAAAAUUAACAAGUAUAUUAAAAGAACACUUUUUCCCAUGCCCACUAGGGAACACAUAUUUGGAGAAAUGGUUGGCACUAAAUGUUUCUCCACAUUGGAUGCAUCCGUAGGAUUUUGACAACUCCCCUUCGAUGAAGGGACUGGCUGACACUCCUCCCAGAGUACAGAGACUGCUUUUCUCAACUGCAGUUAUCUGAAUUGCAAAUAGAAUAUAAAGCAGGAUGGGAUUUAGUGGAUACUCUGUCUAUAGCAGUGGUGCCCAAACUGGGGUUCGCAAACCCCUGGGGGUUCGCAGAACGUUACAGGGGGUUCGCCAGAAAAAUGUCACUCAUGGCGGGCCAUGGGACCCCGGGCACUGGAGGCAGCAGGUGGGACCCGGUGGCAGGGCAGACAGCCCGAGCCCCAGGGAGAGCGAAGCUGGGCAGUUGAGGCUGGCAGCCCGAGCCCUGCCCCCGUCAGUGGGGGAGCCAGCUGCCCAAACCCCAGCACUCCGCACAGGGCUGGCAGCCCAAGCCCUGGCGGUCAGCGGGACCUGCAGCCCGAGCUCAGUGGAGCUCAGUUGACCAGGGCAGUCAACAGGGUCCAGCAGCAGGAGCCCCGCAGAGUGUGGAGGAAAUUUAAACUUAAAUCCCUGGAAAUAUUCAUUUUUAGGAGGGGAUUCACGAGAUUUCACAAUUUAGUGAAAGGAGUUCGCGGGCUGUUAAAGUUUGGGAACCACUGGUCUAGAGCUUUUGACAAUACUGUAGCAGGAAAUGACUCUGAAUCUGAUAUAUGCAUGUGAACCUCAUAAACCAGGGAUGGCCAACCUGCCCCGAGAAGGAGCCAGAAUUUACCUGUGUACAUUGUCAAAGAGCCACAGUAAUACGUCAGCACCCUCCAUCAGCUCCCCACUGCCUGCCAGCAGCCCUGCUGAUCAGCACCUCCCCCUCUUUCCCCAUGCCUCCUGCGGCAUGCAGGAGGCUCUGGGGGGAGGGG